AUAUAUAUAUAUAUCAUUGAACACACAAGUUCUUGUCCAAUCACUGAAGUUAAGCAACAUUGAGCCUAGUUAGUACUUACAUGGGUGACUGCUUGGGUAACCUAGGUACUGCGAAUGUG
rnacentral:rRNA from 1 species